AGCGUACGUGGUGGAUGCCUUGGCAGCUAGAGGCGAUGAAGGACGUGGUAGGCCACGAAAGGCUUCGGGGAGCAGUCAAACAUGCUUUGAUCCGGAGGUAUCCGAAUGGGGAAACCCACCCAGUUUACUGGGUACCUUGCACUGAAUAUAUAGGUGUAAGGGGCGAACGCGGAGAACUGAAACAUCUAAGUACCCGCAGGAAAAGAAAUCAACCGAGAUUCCCAAAGUAGCGGCGAGCGAAAUGGGAUUAGCCCUUAAGUUACAGUGGAUUUAGCAGAACGCUCUGGAAAGUGCGGCAAUAGAGGGUGAUAGCCCCGUAUGCGAAAGGUCCAUUGUAGUGAAAUCGAGUAGGUCGGGACACGUGAAAUCCUGACUGAACAUGGGGGGACCAUCCUCCAAGGCUAAAUACUCCUAGCUGACCGAUAGUGAACUAGUACCGUGAGGGAAAGGCGAAAAGAACCCCGGUGAGGGGAGUGAAAUAGAUCCUGAAACCGCGUACGUACAAGCAGUAGGAGCCUCUUUUAUGGGGUGACUGCGUACCUUUUGUAUAAUGGGUCAGCGAGUUAUUGUCAGUAGCAAGGUUAACCGUUUAGGGGAGCCGUAGGGAAACCGAGUCUUAAUAGGGCGAAUUAGUUGCUGGUAAUAGACCCGAAACCGGGCGAUCUAGCCAUGGCCAGGUUGAAGGUGCCGUAACAGGCACUGGAGGACCGAACCCACCUAUGUUGAAAAAUGGGGGGAUGAGCUGUGGCUCGGAGUGAAAGGCUAAUCAAGCCCGGAGAUAGCUGGUUCUCCUCGAAAACUAUUUAGGUAGUGCCUCGCGUUUGACUGCUGGGGGUAGAGCACUGUGUCGGCUAGGGGGUCAUCCCGACUUACCAACCCGAUGCAAACUCCGAAUACCAGUAAGUAUUAUCGCGGGAGACAGACAGCGGGUGCUAACGUCCGUUGUCGAGAGGGCAACAACCCAGACCACCAGCUAAGGUCCCUAAUAUCAGUUAAGUGGGAAACGAUGUGGGAAGGCUUAGACAGCUAGGAGGUUGGCUUAGAAGCAGCCAUCCUUUAAAGAAAGCGUAAUAGCUCACUAGUCGAGUCGGCCUGCGCGGAAGAUAUAACGGGGCUAAACUGAUAACCGAAGCUGUGGAUGCGCAUUUAUGCGCAUGGUAGAGGAGCGUUCUGUAAGCCGUUGAAGGUGAAUCGUAAGGUUUGCUGGAGGUAUCAGAAGUGCGAAUGCUGACAUGAGUAACGAUAAGGGGGGUGAAAAACCCCCCCGCCGAAAGAUCAAGGUUUCCUGUCCAACGUUAAUCGGGACAGGGUGAGUCGGCACCUAAGGCGAGGGCGAAGGCCGUAGUCGAUGGAAAAUCGGUUAAAAUUCCGAUACCGAUUCUUACUGCGAUGGAGGGACGGAGCAGGCUAGGCUAGCACGGCGUUGGUAGUCCGUGUUUAAGCGUGUAGGUAGGGGGAUUAGGUAAAUCCGGUUCCCUGUUGAUCUGAGACGUGAUGACGAUCUCUUGGGGCAACCCUUGAGAGAAGUAGUUGAUGCCAUACUUCCAGGAAAAUCUUCUAAGCUUCAGGUAAGAAUUGACCGUACUGUAAACCGACACAGGUGAUCAGGUAGAGAAUACCAAGGCGCUUGAGAGAACUUGGGUGAAGGAACUAGGCAAAAUGGUACCGUAACUUCGGGAGAAGGUACGCUCUCUUUGGUGAUCGGACUUGCUCCGUAAGCUGAGGAGAGUCGAAGUGACCAGGUGGCUGCAACUGUUUAUUAAAAACAUAGCACUCUGCAAACUCGUGAGAGGAAGUAUAGGGUGUGACGCCUGCCCGGUGCCGGAAGGUUAAUUGAUGGGGUUAUCUUCGGAGAAGCUCUUGAUCGAAGCCCCGGUAAACGGCGGCCGUAACUAUAACGGUCCUAAGGUAGCGAAAUUCCUUGUCGGGUAAGUUCCGACCUGCACGAAUGGCGUAAUGAUGGCCACGCUGUCUCCACCCAAGACUCAGUGAAAUUGAAAUCGCUGUUAAGAUGCAGUGUACCCGCGGCUAGACGGAAAGACCCCGUGAACCUUUACUAUAGCUUCACACUGGACUUUGACCUUACUUGUGUAGGAUAGGUGGGAGACUUUGAAGCGUGAUCGCCAGAUUGCGUGGAGUCACCCUUGAAAUACCACCCUGGUAAUGUUGAGGUUCUAACUUGGCUCCUGAAACGGGAGUGAGGACAGUGUGUGGUGGGUAGUUUGACUGGGGCGGUCUCCUCCUAAAGAGUAACGGAGGAGCACGAAGGUACCCUAAGA
rnacentral:rRNA from 2 species